AGUGAACGCUGGCGAUAGGCCUAACACAUGCAAGUCGAACGGCAGCACAGUAAGAGCUUGCUCUUACGGGUGGCGAGUGGCGGACGGGUGAGGAAUACAUCGGAAUCUACUUUUUCGUGGGGGAUAACGUAGGGAAACUUACGCUAAUACCGCAUACGACCUACGGGUGAAAGCAGGGGAUCUUCGGACCUUGCGCGAUUGAAUGAGCCGAUGUCGGAUUAGCUAGUUGGCGGGGUAAAGGCCCACCAAGGCGACGAUCCGUAGCUGGUCUGAGAGGAUGAUCAGCCACACUGGAACUGAGACACGGUCCAGACUCCUACGGGAGGCAGCAGUGGGGAAUAUUGGACAAUGGGUGCAAGCCUGAUCCAGCCGUACCGCGUGGGUGAAGAAGGCCUUCGGGUUGUAAAGCCCUUUUGUUGGGAAAGAAAAGCAGCAGGUUAAUACCCCGCUGUUCUGACGGUACCCAAAGAAUAAGCACCGGCUAACUUCGUG
rnacentral:rRNA from 1 species